CGUCGCAUCUAUACAUGCAGUCGAGCGGACAGAAGGGAGCUUGCUCCCGGAUGUUAGCGGCGGACGGGUGAGUAACACGUGGGUAACCUGCCUGUAAGACUGGGAUAACUCCGGGAAACCGGAGCUAAUACCGGAUAGUUCCUUGAACCGCAUGGUUCAAGGAUGAAAGACGGUUUCGGCUGUCACUUACAGAUGGACCCGCGGCGCAUUAGCUAGUUGGUGGGGUAAUGGCUCACCAAGGCGACGAUGCGUAGCCGACCUGAGAGGGUGAUCGGCCACACUGGGACUGAGACACGGCCCAGACUCCUACGGGAGGCAGCAGUAGGGAAUCUUCCGCAAUGGACGAAAGUCUGACGGAGCAACGCCGCGUGAGUGAUGAAGGUUUUCGGAUCGUAAAGCUCUGUUGUUAGGGAAGAACAAGUGCGAGAGUAACUGCUCGCACCUUGACGGUACCUAACCAGAAAGCCACGGGGGGGGGGGGGUGCCAGCAGCCGCGGUAAUACGUAGGUGGCAAGCGUUGUCCGGAAUUAUUGGGCGUAAAGGGCUCGCAGGCGGUUUCUUAAGUCUGAUGUGAAAGCCCCCGGCUCAACCGGGGAGGGUCAUUGGAAACUGGGAGACUUGAUUGCAAAAGAGGAGAGUGGAAUUCCACGUGUAGCGGGGAAAUGGGG
rnacentral:rRNA from 1 species